GACGAACGCUGGCGGCGUGCUUAACACAUGCAAGUCGAACGGAAAGGCCUUCCUUCUGUUGUGUGUUCCGGUUGCUAACGUGUGAGUAACACGUGUGUAACCUGCCCUUUAUUUUGGCAUAUCUUCAGUAAACUUGGGCUACUACCUGUUAUUAGCUCCUGCUGCGUGGUGUGGUUUGUGAAGUUUCAGCGGUUGGGGAUGGACUCGCGGCUUAUCUGCUUGUUUGUGGGGUAGUGGCUUGCGUAGGCUGUGACGGGUAGCCGGCCUGGGAGGGUGACCGGACACAUUGGGAAUGAGAUACGGCGCAGAAUCAUACGGGAAGAAGCAGUGGGGAAUAGUGCACAAUGGGCGGAAGGCUGAUGCAGCAACGACGCGUGCGGGAUGACGGCCUUCGGGUUGUAAACCGCUUGCGCCUGUGACGAAGCGUGAGUGACGGUAAUGGGUGAAGAAGCACCGGCUAACUACGUG
rnacentral:rRNA from 1 species